CAUGUAUGUAAUACUUUCAUAGUUUUUAUAUAAAUUACAUCAUAAAUAACAAAAAGGUAAUUUGAAACACUCACGCACCCAUAUAAUAUUCAAACAGCACAUAUAUGAGAGCUGAUCCCCUAUAUAGUUCUCUUAAUCCAACUUCUGCCAGUGAGUACAUCUCAAGCCGGAUUUUCUCUUAAUAGACAAAAUGUGGAGGCCAACGAGAUCAUCUCGAGCCAUGCCUACCCCUACUUAUCCAUAAAAGGAUCGAGUCUCAGCGAGUCAAGCUUCAGUCGCGUUUACCCGUCCGGUUCAUAUCUAAUAUCACACACCACACGCACGCCAACACACACACUGCUCCAAAUUACCAUAAAACAACAUCCAUAACAUUUCAUCAAAUAAAGAUACAAUAUAAAACGUGCCUAUUAUUUAACUACAUAAAUAUAUAUUUAUAAGUGAUGCAUGGGCAAGCUUGAACAUAUAAUAAUAUCGAA
rnacentral:misc_RNA from 1 species